GACGAACGCUGGCGGCGCGCUUAACACAUGCAAGUCGAGCGAGAACCAGGGCUUCGGCCCUGGGGACAGCGGCGAACGGGUGAGUAACACGUGGAUAACCUGCCCUCGGCACCGGGAUAGCCCGGGGAAACCCGGAUUAAUACCGGAUGGCCCUUCCGGCUCACGAGCCGGUCGGAAAAGGUAGCUUCGGCCUCCGGCCGAGGAUGGGUCCGCGGCGGAUUAGCUUGUUGGUGGGGUAACGGCCCACCAAGGCUCCGAGCCGUAGCUGGUCUGAGAGGACGAUCAGCCACACUGGGGCGGAGGAACGGCCCAGAAUCCUACGGGAGGCAGAAGUGGGGAAUCUUGCGCAAUGGGCGAAAGCCUGACGCAGCGACGCCGCGUGAGGGAGGAAGGCCGUCGGGUUGUAAACCUCUUUCAGGAGGGACGAAGCUACUCGGGUGAAUAGCCCAGAGGGUGACGGUACCUCCAGAAGAAGCCCCGGCUAACUACGUGCCAGCCGCCGCCGUAA
rnacentral:rRNA from 1 species